rnacentral:tRNA from 1 species
GCCUGGGUGGCUUAGUCAGUUGAGCAUCUGAUUUCCGCGCAGGUCGUGAUCCUCGUGGUUUGUGGGUUCGAGCCCCACAUCGGGCU